GGGGAUAUAGCUCAGUUGGCUAGAGCGGCGGCUUUGCAAGCCGUAGGUCGAGGGUUCGAGUCCCUUUAUCUCCACGA
rnacentral:tRNA from 1 species